GCCUCAAUAGCUCAGUUGGUAGAGCGCCAGUUUCGUAAACUGGAGGUCGAGAGUUCAAUCCUCCCUUGAGGCU
rnacentral:tRNA from 1 species